CACCAACAUUCAUAAGCUUCUCUCUAAAAGAAUCCUCCAUUUCCUCAGCAAGUAAAUACCUAAGAACAAGCACUAGGUGAGCACCAAAUCGAAUCAUUUGAGGAUCACCAUGAGGCCUAAAGACAUUUUGAUCAUNNNNNNNAGGUGCUAUCCAUGACCAGAUCAUGUCCAACAGGUGUGGUAUGUUACCCAACAUAAGAUCCAUCUCAAUUUGCCGUUGAUGCUCUUUGCACCCUCGAGUAACAGCUUCAUUAACCAUUUCACCUGAGUGGAGUUUCUGUAGAAGAGCAGACAGGUUUCGUGGUUGCUGGUUCAGAACUUGGAGUGGCCAAUUUUCUGGUCCCAUGGAAGACUGAGACAUACCAUUUAUUAGUUCAGGACUUCCAUCAAUACCAUCUCCAUAGCUUUUAAGCUGCUCUAUUCUACCAGGUUGUGAACGAGCUAGCUCCAAAUCUACCUGAACAUCAAGCCAAGACUUUGCCAUUGCCCAGCAUGCUGACUCCCAGUCCGUGCAAAUUGGAAGCAUGCGUUUAAGAUCACUGCAUUGUACUGCAUAUACAGCAACUUCAUAUUUUCCACCAUUUUGCUCUGCAAUUUUCUCUGAUGCACAAUAGGAAGCCCAUUUCCAAAGGCGCCAUUGAUGACCAAUGCCACUUUCCAAUUCAAUGGCUUGCAGGGUUCUGUUCUUUCCAUUCUUC
rnacentral:misc_RNA from 1 species